GACGAACGCUGGCGGCGUGCUUAACACAUGCAAGUCGAACGGAAAGGCCCUGCUUGCCGGGUACUCGAGUGGCGAACGGGUAAGUAACACGUGGGUGAUCUGCCCUGCACUUCGGGAUAAGCCUGGGAAACUGGGUCUAAUACCGGAUAGGAGCCAUUUUUAGUGUGAUGGUUGGAAAGUUUUUUCGGUGUAGGAUGAGCUCGCGGCCUAUCAGCUUGUUGGUGGGGUAAUGGCCUACCAAGGCGGCGACGGGUAGCCGGCCUGAGAGGGUGGACGGCCACAUUGGGACUGAGAUACGGCCCAGACUCCUACGGGAGGCAGCAGUGGGGAAUAUUGCACAAUGGGCGCAAGCCUGAUGCAGCGACGCCGCGUGGGGGAUGACGGCCUUCGGGUUGUAAACUCCUUUCGCUAGGGACGAAGCUUUUUGUGACGGUACCUAGAGAAGAAGCACCGGCUAACUACGUG
rnacentral:rRNA from 1 species